GGCUGGAACAACUCACUUCCGCCAUAGAGAUGAGAGGGAAGGAGGAACCUGACGAGCUCUGUGCUGCCUCCCUAGGCGGAGAGGAGUCAUCGGCAGAGGCCACCCCUGGGACCGAGACGUGGUCCCCAAUUCUGGUCUCAGAGGACUGGAAGAGAUUUGAACCAAACUAUCAGCUCCUCCUGGGCCUCGAGCCUGCCAACAUUCAGAAUCACACCAUCAGCUCUCCUGGAUCUCCAGCUUGCUGACUGCAAAUCUUGGGACCUGUCAGCUUCCAUAAUCACAUGAGCCAAUUCCUCAUAAUAAAUCUCUUUCUAUAUAUACA